GGACUACUAGGGUUUCUAAUCCUUUUUGCUCCCCACGCUUUCGUGUCUCAGAGUCAGGAAAGUCCCAGUGAGCUGCCUUCGCCUUUGGUGUUUCGCACGAUAUCAACGGAUUUCACCCCUACACCGUGCGCUCCGCUCACCUCUAACUUCCUCUAGUUCUGCCGUAUCCCAUGCAGGCCCACCGUUAGGCGGUGGUAUUUAACAUGAGACGCACAAAACAUCCUACACACGCUUUACGCCCAAUAAAUCCGGAUAACGCUUGAGGCCUACGUAUUACCGCGGCUGCUGGCAC
rnacentral:rRNA from 1 species